GGGCGGUUGGCUCAGUUGGUAGAGCAUUGGUUUUACACACCAAGGGUCACUGGUUCGAGUCCAGUACCGCCCA
rnacentral:tRNA from 2 species